rnacentral:lncRNA from 1 species
GAAAGGAAUAUAGAGGCGGAAUCCCUGGGAGGAGAAGAGGGCACGGCGCUGAGAGCUCUCUCUUUCCUGCUACCAUGUGAAGAAGGGCUUUGCUUCCCCUUCACCUUCCACCAUGACUGUAAGCUUCCUGAGGCAUCUCCAGCCGUGUGGAACUCACCUUCUAAUUAGAUUAUGGAUCCUUGAUCAAGUUGGGCUGGAGCAAGGGAAAGCCUUGAUCAUGCCAAAGAAGUCACUGUGGCCCAACGGACAACACUUUUCUGCAUGAAUUAACGUAUCAGUGUCUGUGUUGUAGAAGAAUCUUGGUGGAAAAAAAUCUACAGAUCUGAGACCUUUAACAACACCAUGUGAUGAUUAUUACUGCUUAUGGGCAGCAAAUGGGAUUAGCAGACUGUGAUAUUGGCAAAAGAAAGCUGAUAUUCUUCUUUCUAGAAGGUAGACUACAUCAAAGAC